CCUGGGAGCGCGGUCGCCUGAGGAAAAGUCUGGGUUCAUGACUGGGGUCAGACAGCAUGGGUGGUGAGGAACGGGUUUUAUUUUCGUUUGUUUUUCCUGUCAGGACUAGAAGAAGAAUCCACCCACUGAGGGUCUCUCCAGGAGCGAAAAGUAGCCGAUGUCGAGACAGGACUCGCCCCCACGCUUUCAAGAGAAACACACAAAGCCCCUCCAAUUGUAUAGGACCUUCACCCUGAAUGGGAUCCACUCACGACCCGACGUAGGCGUGAACAUCACACACAUGCAUCACUGGACUCAGCGCUCCUGUGACAGAUGUGGUUGCACCUGCCAUCCAGCAAGCUGCUCCUGGUUUCAAGAUAUCAUGAAGCCUGUGUGGAAACAAAUUAGUAGAUUGCUGUGA
rnacentral:lncRNA from 1 species